rnacentral:rRNA from 1 species
GUAGGGAAUAUUGCGCAAUGGACGAAAGUCUGACGCAGCGACGCCGCGUGAGUGAUGAAGGACUUAGGGUCGUAAAGCUCUGUUGAAUGGGAAGAAAAAAAUGACGGUACCAUUCGAGGAAGGACCGGCUAACUUCGUGCCAGCAGCCGCGGUAAUACGAGGGGUCCUAGCGUUGUUCGGAAUCAUUGGGCGUAAAGGGUGUGUAGGUGGCCAUGUAAGUCAGGUGUGAAAGCCCCGGGCUCAACCCGGGAAGUGCCCUUGAUACUGCGUGGCUUGAGUACCGAAGAGGGUAGUGGAAUUCCAGGUGUAGUGGUGAAAUACGUAGAUAUCUGGAGGAACACCGGUGGCGAAGGCGGCUACCUGGUCGAGUACUGACACUGAGACACGAAAGCAUGGGGAUCAAACAGGAUUAGAAACCCCGGUAGUCC